rnacentral:rRNA from 1 species
CCUACGGGUGGCAGCAGUGAGGAAUAUUGGUCAAUGGCCGGAAGGCUGAACCAGCCAUGCCGCGUGAAGGUCAGUGCCCUAUGGGCGUUAAACUUCUUUUGUGCGGGAGCAAUAAUGGUCACGUGUGGCCAGACGAGAGUACCGUACGAAUAAGCAUCGGCUAACUCCGUGCCAGCAGCCGCGGUAAUACGGGGGAGGCAAGCGUUAUCCGGAUUUAUUGGGUGUAAAGGGAGCGUAGAUGGCAGGGCAAGUCUGGGGUGAAAGGCGGGGGCUCAACCGCCGAACUGCGCUUGAAACUGUACGGCUGGAGUGCGGAAGAGGUGGGAGGAAUGCGUGGUGUAGCGGUGAAAUGCGUAGAUAUUAGAAAGAACACCGGUGGCGAAGGCGGCUUACGAGACUGUGAUUGACGUUGAGGCACGAAAGCGUGGGGAGCAAACAGGAUUAGAUACCCGAGUAGUC